GCCAUUGAUGACAGUUUAUAAUUAUGGUUUACUGAAAGCUAGUUUUUACAUUAGCUAAAUUGUUGAAAAUCAUGAACUAGGACGGUCUGAGGC